rfam:Candidatus Roizmanbacteria bacterium RIFCSPLOWO2_01_FTLL_45_11 rifcsplowo2_01_scaffold_126996, whole genome shotgun sequence.
AUUUAAGAUUUAACAAUAUCGGAUACGUCAGAUUCUGAAUGACAGCGAAGAAUGGAUUAUUAUUACAUAAAUUCAUAGUGUAAUGAAGCGCACCCUGGGAACUGAAACAUCUUAGUACCAGGAGGAAAAGAAAACAAUAGUGAUUCCGCAAGUAGUGGCGAGCGAACGCGGAAAAGCCUAAACCGCAUUCUUCACUAACGUUCAGAAUGAAUUUUUAAUUUCCAAUUUUUAAUUUUUAAAUAAUUUCUAAUGCUUAAAUUUUUAAACAUUAAAAAUUAAGAUUUAUUUUAAAAAUUAUAAAAUUAAAAAUUUAAAAAUUCGGAGCGUGAGCGAAGAAUGUGGUGUUGCGAGGUAAUCAUACUCGUUUAAUCGGGGUUUAUAAAAUUUUCUUAAUGGAAUGUCCCUGGAAAGGGCAAUCAGAGAGGGUGACAAUCCCGUACAUGAAAGGAAAAUUUUAUGGAUGAGGUUAUUCUCAAGUAAGGCGGGACCGGAGAAAUCCCGUCUGAAACCGGGAGCACUAAACUUCCAAGGCUAAAUAUUACAUAAGAUCGAUAGCGAACUAGUACCGUGAGGGAAAGGUGAAAAGCAUCCCGAUGAGGGAGUUGAAAUAAAACCUGAAACCAUAUGCUAACGAAGAGUCAGAGCCCCCAUUCUUCACUAACGUUCAGAAUGAAUUUUUAAUUUCCAAUUUUUAAUUUUUAAAUAAUUUCUAAUGAUUAAAUUUUUAAACAUUAAAAAUUAAAAUUUAUUUUAAAAAUUAUAAAAUUAAAAAUUUAAAAAUUCCGAGCGGUAGCGAAGGAUGGAGGUGAUGGCGUGCUUUUUGCAGAACGAGCCAACGAGUUAGUUCUAUGCGGCAAGCAUAAACCGCUUACGCGGGAUAUGCGCAGUGAAAGCGAGCCUUAACCGGCUACCAGUCGUAUGGACUAGACCCGAAGCCAGGCGAGCUACGUAUGAGCAGGGUGAACCCCGGGUAAAACCGGGGGGAGGCCCGCACCCACCAGCCGUUCGACUCUGGGGGAUGACUUGUGCGUAGAGGAGAAAUUCCAAUCGAGCUUGGCAAUAGCUGGUUCUCUCCGAAAUAGCUUGAGGGCUAGCGUCCUCCCAAUGAGCGCAAGAGGUAGAGCUACUGAAUGAGAAUUCGCGGUUCGCCGUAGAGUUUUCAACCAAACUCCGAAUUCUUGCGUUUCUUACGAGGGCAGUCAGAAAUCCGGCGCUAAGGUCGGAUCUCAAAAGGGAAAAAGCCCAGAUCAUCAUCUAAGGCCCCUAAAUCCAUGUUAAGUGACAUCAAGGAAGUGAAGUUUCUCAUACACCUAGGAGGUUGGCUUAGAAGCAGCCAUCCUUUAAAGAGUGCGUAACAGCUCACUAGUCUAGAGACUUCGCGCCGAAAAUUCAACGGGUCUAAACAUGGUGCCGAAGAUAUGGGCCGCAUUCUUCACUAAUGUUCAGAAUUAAUUUUUAAUUUCCAAUUUUUAAUUUUUAAAUAAUUUCCAAUGUUUAAAUUUUUAAACAUUAAAAAUUAAGAUUUAUUUUAAAAAUUAUAAAAUUAAAAAUUUAAAAAUUCCGAGCGAUAGCGAAGGAUGCGGCGGUAGGAGAGCAUUCUUUGCGCUGCGAAGCGGAAGGCGCGAGCCACCGUGGAGCGCAAAGAAGUGAGAAUGUUGGCAUGAGUAACCGCAAUGCGGGUGAGAACCCCGCACACCGAAAGUCCAAGGUUUCCUGGGCAAUGGCGAUCAUCCCAGGGUUAGGCGGUCCUAAGGCGAGGCCGAAAGGCGUAGUCGAUGGACAGCCGGUUAAUAUUCCGGCCCAACUAUUAGCUUGUAAAUGAGGUGACGUGUUCUAGUAAUCCUUGCGAUUUAUUGGAUUAUCGUACUGGCAUUGAGGAUGUUUCGCAGGAAAAUCCGCGAGACACCAAUCCAAGAUGCCAGUGGAAUUCCGCCUCGGCGGGAGAACAAAGACGAGCAGGGCACCAGGAAAAACCUCUAUGUCGUUCACAUCACACUGCGUGUGAUGUUCACGACUAACUAACAACCGAUAACCAACAACUGACAACAAUUUAAAAAAGUUGUAAGUUGUGAGUGGUAAGUUGUGGGUUAGCGAAACAUUGCGCGAAGCGCGAUGUGAGCGAAUCUAAUAGUUUCCGUACUUAAAACCGACACAGGUGGACUGGUCGAGCAGACCAAGGUGAACGGGAGAACCUUCGUUAAGGAACUCGGCAAAAAAACUAGACGUAAGUUAGCGAGAUGUCUUGCCAGCCGUAAGGCUGGCCGCAGCUAAAGUUUUCCAAGCGACUGUUUAUCAAAAACACAGGUCUCUGCCAACCCGUAAGGGGAAGUAUAGGGGCUGACGCCUGACCAGUGCUGGAACGUUAACGGGAGCGGUGCAAGCCAAUCCCCGAAGCGCCAGUGAACGUCGGCGAUAACUAUAAUUGACGAUUGUAGUUAUAAAAUUUGGCUAUUUGCUGGAAAAUCCGGAGUAAAAAAUGUACUCGCUUCAAAAUAAAAGGAGCAGUAAAAAUCAUUUUCUGUGUCUUGAGUGA